GGGAGUCUGGCCGAGUGGUUAAGGCGUUGUGUUUAGGUCUUCAUUCAUACUUGAACCGCAAUGGGUACGCCCGCGCAGGUUCGAUCCCUGCGGCUCCCA